rnacentral:lncRNA from 1 species
AAUUGCCAUUUUAUGAGGUGUUGGGUGAGAAUCCUGUGAUUUUUUUCCAUAUAGUGGGGUUGGGCUUACCAACGCCAUUUACUCCACCAUUCCAGGGUCGCCACUGAUGUGGGGAUCCACCUUUGAUGCACAUUGGAUUCCUGUCUCUAUAUGAGUUUGUCCAGUGGCCACCUAUUACAUCAUUGUUUUACUGCUAUGGCUUUUGUAGUAUCUGGAAGUACAAGUUUUCCUUCUCCAUUUCCAAUUCCUUUUUUAAAGUGAAUGAACUUUUUUUAAAAUAUAAACUUUAGGAUAAAUUCAUAAAUCUCCCCAAAAAAUCCAAAAAGGAGUUUUACAUAGGAUUGCUUUGAACUUACAGAUAAACUUAGGGAAAAUCAACAUCUUUGUAGAAUUGAGAUAUUCCACACAAGAGCUAUUGUGUUUAAGGCUUCACCAGUUAUCCUGACACAAAACUGGGGGCAACAAAGCCUGGCUGUAAAUAUCUGGAACUCUGAGAGUGUCUUGUGUUGCUUUUGCUUUUGUGACUUGGGGAUAUCUUUGUUGCAAAACAAAACAAGAUAAAACACAACAGAAAUCCACUCAGAUUGAUUCACAUUAAGAAGGGAGGCAUGUCACAAAAAGACAGAACAUCUGGAGGGCAUCUUUGGGAUCUGUCAGGCUCAGCUGGUCCUCCUGGGCACAGCCUGGCCAGUCAGAGUCUGAGGCUCCACGUCUGUGUCUCAGGGCAUCCAGGCUGCCUAUAGAGUCUCUUCACUUACAUGCUCCAUUCUCCUGCUUUUUUCAGCAGAAUUUCAGCCUGCAUGUAGCUCUGGUAUCAAUGACACAGGCUCUACUGGAUCUAAAAUUUCUCAGGAAAAUACAUGGUGAACCCCAAGACCAGUCUGAAUUCAAGCCCAUUGUCAUGGUGGGAAUGGGUUCAUUCUCGCUGCAUGCAUCCCUCAUGCAUCUGGAGCCUUUGCUAAGGUUCCAGAGUUACUGACUGAGAUUUCUGACCUUUUUUUCUCCUUCUCUGUUUGGUUUCAGAGUGGAGAGCAGCCCAAAAAUAUGCAGUGGACGUGACUCUGGAUGCGGCCUCCGCGCACCCCAGCCUGGAAGUGUCCGAGGAUGGCAAGAGCGUGUCUUCCCGCCGGGCGCCGCCAGGCCCCGCGCCGAGCGACCCGCAGCGGUUCUCGGAGCAGACGUGCGCGCUGAGCCUGGAGCGGUUCUCCGCGGGCCGCCACUACUGGGAGGUGCACGUGGGCCGCCGCAGCCGCUGGUUCCUGGGCGCCUGCCUGGCCGCGGUGCCGCGCGCGGGGUCCGUGCGCCUGAGCCCGGCGACCGGCUACUGGGUGCUGGGGCUGUGGAACGGCUGCGAGUACUUCGUCCUGGCCCCGCACCGCGUGGCGCUCCCCUG